rnacentral:rRNA from 1 species
AGAGUUUGAUCCUGGCUCAGGACGAACGCUGGCGGCGGGCUUCAUACAUGCAAGUCGAACGAGAACGUGUCCUUCGGGGCGCAAGUACAGUGGCGCACGGGUGAGUAACGCGUAGGCAACCUGCCCUCGAGUGGGGAAUAACCUUCGGAAACGAUGGCUAAUACCGCAUGAAGUUCUACAUCGCAUGGUGUGGAAUGAAAGUUUUUAACGCUCGGGGAUGGGCCUGCGUCGGAUUAGCUUGUAGGUAAGGUAACGGCUUACCUAGGCUACGAUCCGUAGCUGGUCUGAGAGGACGAUCAGCCACACUGGGACUGAGAUACGGCCCAGACUCCUACGGGGGGCAGCAGCAAGGAAUAUUGGACAAUGGGCGCAAGCCUGAUCCAGCAACGCCGCGUGGAGGAAGAAGGCUUCGGUUGUAAACUCCUUUUGUGAGGGAUGAGACAAGGACAGUACCUCACGAAUAAGUCACGGCUAACUAGGUGCCAGCAGCCGCGGUAACACCUAGGUGACAAGCGUUAUCCGGAUUUACUGGGCGUAAAGGGCUCGAAGGCGGCAGCUCAAGUCCGGCGUGAAAUCUCCUGGCUUAACCAGGAGGGGUCGUCGGAUACUGUGCUGCUAGAGGCAGUGAGAGGGGUGCGGAAUUCUCGGUGGAGUGGUGGAAUACGUAGAUAUCGAGAGGAACACCAGUGGCGAAAGCGGCGCCCUGGCACUGACCUGACGUUCAUGAGCGAAAGCGUGGGGAGCGAACGGGAUUAGAUACCCCGGUAGUCCACGCUGUAAACGAUGAGUACUAGGUGUAGGCGACAACCGUGGUCUGUGCCGAAGCUAACGCGAUAAGUACUCCGCCUGGGGACUACGGCCGCAAGGCUAAAACUCAAAGGAAUUGACGGGGACCCGCACAAGCAGCGGAGCGUGUUGUUUAAUUCGAUGUAACGCGAAGAACCUUACCUGGGUUUGACAUGUGCGUAGUAGUGAAGCGAAAGCCGAACGACCCUUCGGGGAGCGUACACAGGUGUUGCAUGGCUGUCGUCAGCUCGUG